UUUUAUAAUUUUAGAAUCUCCAUAUAAAAUCACCGACCGAUUAAGUACAGUGUCGUCGGUGCAGAUACGGCGGGUUGUACGCUCGCAGCGCGUUUGUCGGAGAAUCCCACUUGGAAGGUGCUGCUCAUCGAAGCCGCCCGAACAUUUAGCUAUGGAUAUGGAUACCAGCAGUUGCGUGUGGUGAAUGCCAGCAUAAUACUAGUGAUUAUGGCUAGACAUCCUAAUGGACCUAUGUCAAAGCUAGCUGAGAAAGCAGAAAACAUGAUUAAGCAGGACCACAACUACAUUUGAACUCCUUUCGUGGUAUGAACAAAUUCAUUCCACAUAAAGCCUUAGAUGUUAUUAUUAUUAGUGCUAUGCGAGAACAAAAGUCGAGCAUCAAGGCAAUAAACAUUUCAAAUUUCUAAGUUGUGAAAUAAAAAUUGUUUUUUAUUUAUAUAAAGCGUAUAUACAUAUGUA